UACAUCACGUACGAUCACCGAAGUUAAGCCACGUCGAGCCUAAUCAGUACUUAGAUGGGCGACUGCUUGGGAAUACCAGGUACU